UAUCAGGAUUUUUUAAAAUCCACUCAAGGUGUAAAUACAGUAGAGU
rfam:Anolis carolinensis chromosome 3, whole genome shotgun sequence.